GGUUCAUUUCAGCUGUAGAAAGCAAAGGUAACAGCAGUUAGCAUUUGGCUGUCUCAGCUUCUUACAAAUGGAAUUCUACAGCCUAUGAACUCAGUGUUUCCAAAUCAGUGCAGAUUUCCUUCCGCUUAAGUCUUAACAGUGCAGAAUUUACUUCACUGUUUACAGCAUCAAGUUAAUGAGUUCCACAGCAUAAAUGAGCAUAUUCGACAUUCCUGCUGCAUGUUACCGAAGACAUGGAUGUGUUGCAGACAUCUGCAGACUUCAUCUCUAUCCACGCACAUUCACAGGAGUCUGAGUUCUUUUUCAUGAAUAUUCCAGAGCAAUUUAUGCUCAAAAGCGGCCAUACAUGUUUUCCUGUUUCUAUGAUUCAUAGACAUUAACAUAAAAUUUCCUAAUUUGCAUACAAAAUUUGUAAACAGACCUGAAUUUAUGUGAAAAAGUUGAAUACUCUUAGUUAACUGCUGACUUUCUAAAGUAAGAAAAUAGUAAAAAAAAUAUUAUAAUUUAAU